GCGGUGUAAAAUGAGCGUGCGUCCUAUUAGCUCGCGGGUGAGGUAAUGGCUCACCAAGGCUACGAUGGGUAGGGGUUCUUAGUGGAAGGUCCCCCACACUGGCACUGAGAUACGGGCCAGACUCCUACGGGAGGCAGCAGUAGGGAAUAUUGGUCAAUGGGCGCAAGCCUGAACCAGCCAUGCCGCGUGCAGGAUGAAGGCUCUCUGAGUUGUAAACUGCUUUUGUACAGGAGCAAAAAAAUCCCUGCGGGGGUUCUUGAGAGUACUGUAAGAAUAAGCACCGGCUAAUUCCGUGCCAGCAGCCGCGGUAAUACGGGAGGUGCAAGCGUUAUCCGGUUUUAUUGGGUUUAAAGGGUGCGUAGGCGGCUUAUUAAGUCAGUUGUGAAAUCCUAGUGCUUAACGCUAGAACUGCGAUUGAUACUAUUAGGCUUGAGUUAAAGAAGAGGU
rnacentral:rRNA from 1 species